rnacentral:rRNA from 1 species
UUAAGCGACUAAGCGUACACGGUGGAUGCCCUGGCAGUCAGAGGCGAUGAAGGACGUGCUAAUCUGCGAAAAGCGUCGGUAAGGUGAUAUGAACCGUUAUAACCGGCGAUGUCCGAAUGGGGAAACCCAGUGCAAUUCGUUGCACUAUCGUUAACUGAAUACAUAGGUUAACGAGGCGAACCGGGGAACUGAAACAUCUAAGUACCCCGAGGAAAAGAAAUCAACCGAGAUUCCCCAGUAGCGGCGAGCGAACGGGGAGCAGCCCAGAGUCUGAAUCAGCUUGUGUGUUAGUGGAACGGUCUGGAAAGUCCGACGGUACAGGGUGAUAGUCCCGUACACCAAAAUGCACAGGCUGUGAACUCGAAGAGUAGGGCGGGACACGUGGUAUCCUGUCUGAAUAUGGGGACCAUCCUCCAGGCUAAAUACUCCUGACUGACCGAUAGUGAACCAGUACCGUGAGGGAAAGGCGAAAAGAACCCCGGCGAGGGGAGUGAAAAGAACCUGAAACCGUGUACGUACAAGCAGUGGGAGCACCUUCGGGUGUGACUGCGUACCUUUGUAUAAUGGGUCAGCGACUUAUAUUCUGUAGCAAGGUUAACCGUAUAGGGGAGCCGCAGGGAAACCGAGUCUUAACUGGGCGUUAAGUUGCAGGGUAUAGACCCGAAACCCGGUGAUCUCAGCCAUGGGCAGGUUGAAGGUUGGGUAACACUAACUGGAGGACCGAACCGACUAAUGUUGAAAAAUUAGCGGAUGACUUGUGGCUGGGGUGAAAGGCCAAUCAAACCGGGAGAUAGCUGGUUCUCCCCGAAAGCUAUUUAGGUAGCGCCUCGUGAACUCAUCUUCGGGGUAGAGCACUGUUUCGGCUAGGGGUCAUCCCGACUUACCAACCCGAUGCAAACUACGAAUACCGAAGAAUGUUAUCACGGGAGACACACGGCGGGUGCUAACGUCCGUCGUGAAGAGGGAAACAACCCAGACCGCCAGCUAAGGUCCCAAAGUCAUGGUUAAGUGGAAACGAUGUGGGAAGGCACAGACAGCCGUGAUGUUGGCUUAGAAGCAGCCAUCAUUUAAAGAAAGCGUAAUAGCUCACUGGUCGAGUCGGCCUGCGCGGAAGAUGUAACGGGCUAAACCAUGCACCGAAGCUGCGGCAGCGACACUAUGUGUUGUUGGGUAGGGAGCGUUCUGUAAGCCUGCGAAGGUGUGCUGUGAGGCAUGCUGGAGGUAUCAGAAGUGCGAAUGCUGACAUAAGUAACGAUAAAGCGGGUGAAAAGCCCGCUCGCCGGAAGACCAAGGGUUCCUGUCCAACGUUAAUCGGGGCAGGGUGAGUCGACCCUAAGGCGAGGCCGAAAGGCGUAGUCGAUGGGAAACAGGUUAAUAUUCCUGUACUUGGUGUUACUGCGAAGGGGACGGAGAAGGCUAUGUUAGCCGGGCGACGGUUGUCCCGGUUUAAGCAUGUAGGCUGGUUAUCCGUGCAAAUCCGGAUAAUCAAGGCUGAGGUGUGAUGACGAGGCACUACGGUGCUGAAGUAACAAAUGCCCUGCUUCCGUGAAAAGCCUCUAAGCAUCAGGUAACAUCAAAUCGUACCCCAAACCGACACAGGUGGUCAGGUAGAGAAUACCAAGGCGCUUGAGAGAACUCGGGUGAAGGAACUAGGCAAAAUGGUGCCGUAACUUCGGGAGAAGGCACGCUGGUGUGUAGGUGAAGCCCCUGCGGGUGGAGCUGAGACCAGUCGAAGAUACCAGCUGGCUGCAACUGUUUAUUAAAACACAGCACUGUGCAAACACGAAAGUGGACGUAUACGGUGUGACGCCUGCCCGGUGCCGGAAGGUUAAUUGAUGGGGUUAUCCGUAAGGAGAAGCUCUUGAUCGAAGCCCCGGUAAACGGCGGCCGUAACUAUAACGGUCCUAAGGUAGCGAAAUUCCUUGUCGGGUAAGUUCCGACCUGCACGAAUGGCGUAAUGAUGGCCGCUGUCUCCACCCGAGACUCAGUGAAAUUGAACUCGCUGUGAAGAUGCAGUGUACCCGCGGCAAGACGGAAAGACCCCGUGAACCUUUACUAUAGCUUGACACUGAACAUUGAGCCUUGAUGUGUAGGAUAGGUGGGAGGCUUUGAAGCGUGGACGCCAGUCUGCGUGGAGCCAACCUUGAAAUACCACCCUUUAAUGUUUGAUGUUCUAACGUUGGCCCCUGACCGGGGUUGCGGACAGUGUCUGGUGGGUAGUUUGACUGGGGCGGUCUCCUCCCAAAGCGUAACGGAGGAGCACGAAGGUUAGCUAAUCCGGUCGGACAUCAGGAGGUUAGUGCAAUGGCAUAAGCUAGCUUGACUGCGAGCGUGACGGCGCGAGCAGGUGCGAAAGCAGGUCAUAGUGAUCCGGUGGUUCUGAAUGGAAGGGCCAUCGCUCAACGGAUAAAAGGUACUCCGGGGAUAACAGGCUGAUACCGCCCAAGAGUUCAUAUCGACGGCGGUGUUUGGCACCUCGAUGUCGGCUCAUCACAUCCUGGGGCUGAAGUAGGUCCCAAGGGUAUGGCUGUUCGCCAUUUAAAGUGGUACGCGAGCUGGGUUUAGAACGUCGUGAGACAGUUCGGUCCCUAUCUGCCGUGGGCGCUGGAGAAUUGAGGGGGCUGCUCCUAGUACGAGAGGACCGGAGUGGACGCAUCACUGGUGUUCGGGUUGUCAUGCCAAUGGCACUGCCCGGUAGCUAAAUGCGGAAGAGAUAAGUGCUGAAAGCAUCUAAGCACGAAACUUGCCCCGAGAUGAGUUCUCCCUGAGACUUUAAGUCUCCUGAAGGAACGUUAAAGACGAUGACGUUGAUAGGCCGGGUGUGUAAGCGCAGCGAUGCGUUGAGCUAACCGGUACUAAUGAACCGUGAGGCUUAACCU